UGCUUCUCAACUCUCAAUAAAUUAAAUAAUAAUAUCCGGAAAAUCAGCGGACAGGCGGGGCUCUGUUAAGGUACAACAGACACUAUUGUACGGUACGAAAAGCCAACUUUGUGACGGCCCCAACAUCCGUAUCCUCUCCCUUAACCUACACUAAAGGACUAAGCUUGAAAACCAAUGUUACUGUCCCACCCUAAAUAAUCCUCAAACCCUCUAACCAUAACAUCAACCAACCCACAACAGCCCUCUUCUUUCUUUCAUUCCUUUUUUUUUUCUGAGUUCAAAAGGAGAAGCAGGUUUCGGCUUGUUUUGGGUUUUCUUUUUGGGCGAAAAUGGUGAACCCCAGAUGUUAUUUGGACAUAAGUAUAGGAGGAGAAGUAGAAGGGAGGUUGAUUGUGGAGUUAUACAGGGAUGUUGCCCCUAAAACUGCUGAAAAUUUCAGGGCUUUGUGUACUGGUGAGAAAGGCAUUGGACCUAAUACUUCUGUUCCCCUGCAUUACAAGGGUGUCCGAUUUCAUCGAAUUAUCAGGGGUUUUAUGAUAGAAGGUGGGGAUAUAUCAGCUGGUGAUGGAACUGGGGGAGAAUCCAUUUAUGGCUUGAAAUUUGAAGAUGAAAACUUUGACUUAAAACAUGAACGAAAAGGAAUGUUAUCAAUGUCUAAUAUGGGGCCUAACACCAAUGGAUCUCAAUUCUUUAUUACCACUAAUAGAACCUCUCAUCUCGAUGGAAAACAUGUGGUUUUUGGGAAGGUUAUAAAAGGAAUGGGUGUUGUUCGUUCCAUUGAACAUAUUGCUGGUGAGGAUGGUACUAAUUACCCCACUCAAGAGGUUGUAAUUGCAGAUUGUGGAGAAAUUCCUGAGGGGGCGGAUGAUGGAAUAUCCAACUUUUUCAAGGAUGGUGAUAUUUAUCCUGAUUGGCCAGCUGAUGUCGACAACAAACCGGAUGAAAUAUCUUGGUGGAUGAAGGCAGUAGACUCUAUCAAAGCUCUUGGGAAUGAGCAAUUCAAGAAACAGGAUUAUAAGAUUGCUCUUAGAAAAUAUUGCAAGGCUUUGCGCUACUUGGAUGUUUGCUGGGAGCUGAAGGGCAUUGAUGCAGGGAAGAGCUCGACUUUGCGGAAGACCAGGUCACAGAUAUUUACAAAUUGUUCUGCCUGCAAGUUGAAACUUGGAGACUUAAAAGGAGCAUUGUUGGAUGCGGACUUUGCAAUUCGUGAUGGUGAAGAUAAUGUGAAAGCUUUUUUUCGACAAGGCCAGGCACAUAUGGCACUUAAUGACAUCGAUGCCGCAGUUGAGAGCUUUAAAAAGGCAUUGGACUUGGAGCCAAAUGAUGGUGGAAUAAAAAAAGAGCUUGCAGCUGCAAAGAAGAAGAUUGCUGAUCGAAGAGACCGAGAGAAACAAGCAUACUCUAGAAUGUUUCAGUAGAUUCUUAGCCAAAACCAUGUAAAUCCUUACUAGUUCUGCUGAUUACUGUUUGGUUGGGAGGAAAAUCAGGCUUCAGCAUCAGCAAAAAGUUGCAGGAUAUCUGUUUAGGACAUACUCAAACUUGGAUGAAUGUUAAUUGGGAAUGUUACUUUCUUUCAUACCUAAUCAAGCGGAUUGGCAUUUUAUUCCUAGUAGAAACUGGAUUGUUCUUUACAUGUUUUGAGCUGGUUUGAACUUUCUUCCUA